GAUCAAUUCAGCAGUCAAGGGCCAACUGGGAUCAACACAGCUGAUUGCUUUUGAACAAUGAAGAUACUUUGUACUCCUUAAUCGAAAAUGGCAGUACUGUUAUGGCAUUAUGACCAAUAUUGCCAUGAUCUGAAACCGUUGUGCACGGAUUAAGCGAUAGCGAUCCGUCUUGACAUGCUGUCAGUUUCGAAUAAAAAGGAAUGCGCAGCUCGCGCUGCGCAUGAUUUAGCGUCCAAGCUCCAACCAAACACAUCGUGUUUAUUUAAUUUGAAAUAACAUAACAUGGCGAUCCUGCCAGGAGCAACAGCAACAUAUUGGGAAAACGCUAAAUAUGGCAUACGUAUAACAUUGCCAUACGUGCAGAAGUGAUAUUUCUUGCAUUGUGACAUCAAAAGAGCAGCAGUAGCAAAGUGCGGUGUAAUGUGUCCAUAUAAAAAUGCGUCACAUGAUUGAAGCAGAGCAAUAGAGUGUUUGGCGUAAAAAAAAAAUCGAAAUUACUUCACUGAGUUCAUCGCUUACUGAGUGUAAAAAAAAAGAAGAAAAAAAUGUUAACGUGUGCAAAAGAGUAGCAACCGUUCCGGCCCUCUUGUGACACCAGUUCGCUGUAUUAGUGUGCAUGUAAAAAAAAAAAAAUUGGUGACAAAACAAACAACGCCCCUCAUCGUGAAUCAUCGUGUUCGUUGUCUAGUGUGUGUGUCAAGCAGAAAUUUUGGAAAACAAUACGAGCAACACCCUCACCGUGGAUCAUCGAGUUCGUCGCUUUUGUGUCCAUCAAGAAAAAAAAAAAGUUUGGUGACAAUCGCGUUCGUUGUCUAUUGUGUGUGUCAGGUAGAGGUUUUGGGUAACAAUACAAGUUACACCCUUACCGAGGAUCAUCGAGUUCGUCGCUUUUGUGUGCAUCAGGCUAGAGUUGUGGUGACAAAACAAACAACGCCCCUCAUCGUGGAUGAUCGUGUUCGUUGUCUAUUGUGUGUGUGUCAGGCAGAAAUUUUGGACGACAAUACGAGCAACACCCUUACCGUCGGAUCAUCGAGUUCGUCGCUUUUGUGUGCAAGAGGCAAAAAUUUUGGUGACAAUCGUGUCUUUGUUUAUUGUGUGUGCCAGGCAGAAAUUUUGGGCGACAAUACAAGCAACACCGUGGAUCAUCGAGUUCAUCGCUUUUGUGUGCAGCAGGCUAAAACUUUGGUGACAAGACAAGCAACAACCGCAACCAGUGUGGCCAGAUUAUUUUGGCGGUUUUCGUUUUAGAUCCAGAUUAUUUACGAGAGUACCAUCAGCAAUGGCUUCAAGAUCAUCCCAAUAUCAGAAGCGUCGUCGCUUUAUGGAAGAAGUGGAGAGAGAAAUAGACAAUGAGAUCAAUAAUAUGGAGACUUCCUCACCUGUCAUGGUUCCGGCAUCGACGACCAGGAUGUUCAGUAAGUAACUAAUACUGUGUUUUUUAGAGUAGGGUAAAUGUACCAAUAGUGGUGCAAUUUGUAGUGAUACCGAUGUGUUUUAAUGGAUUUAAAGUGUCAGGAAGGAUAAUUUCUGAAUAUUUUAACACAUAGCAAUUGGAAUAUGUUUUAUCUACGCAAUCACAACCAUUUUUAUCAUGAAAUACAUCAAAUUUACGAACAAAUACAUAUUUUUGUGACUGCUUCGUUGUACCUAUAAUGGAGGUAUGGUUCCUAUAGUCGUCGUAUUGUGUUCCUAUAGUGGUGGUAAACAAAGAUGCAUCAAAAACGGUGUAUAAUAUCAAUGAAACUUAGUUUCGAAGCUGUUUUCUUAUGAAUAGCAAGGAUUACUGCCAUAAUAUUGGUUUCUUGCGUAAUUUGAUAGUAACAAAAUGUAUAAAUUUGAUUGAUGAAACUAUUCACUAAAGUACUGCAUCACACCUGUCAUCAACCAACACCCGGAAGAGUGUGCUUGAUUUGAAGUCAAUUUUUCAUUCAGCGAAUUUUGGCCUGUUUUUGGUAAAUUACCUACAUAAAACUUAUUUCUUUUGCUUAUUUUAGUGAAAACAGUACGACAUGUCAAAAAUUUCCUCAAAAAAAUCUAAAACGACCUGUUUUUAUUGAUUUUAUAACUAUAACCACUAUAGGAACAUGCCUGUUUUGUGUACCUUUAAUGGCACUAUGGUAAAAAACACUCAAAAAUGCAUAAAUAUGGUCAAAAGGCAAAUAAUUUUAGUAAAACAAUAACAUUUCAUAACAGUUAUGUUGAAAAACUAGUAAUUGCGUGGUUAUGUGGUCAUUUAGAACGUUAACAGAAAAAUGAGUUUCGUUAUGAAAUCCUAAGGAUUUUGGAAAAAUGUUGACACAUUUCACAGAAUAAUGGAUUUUUCGGUCACUAAGUAACGGAAUGGCCCCAUUUAACUUUUAAACCCUUUGUAAAAGGCUAAAGAACAUUUAACAUUAACGUAAAUAACUUAAUUACUUGUAAUUUGCCGUAUGAACCGCAUUUUAGUGCAAUACCACCACUAUUGGUACUACCACCACUAUAGGUACAUUUACCCUACUAGUAUACAUGGAAAACGGAAUUUUGUCACAGUAUAUUGCCAAUUGGUAAUCAGCAGCUACGUUGAUUCAUAUUCCGAUAGCAAUUUUAGGUUUUGCACCGCCAUCGUUUCUGCAUCGGUUCUGCACCGCCACCCACAAUGGCAACAUGACGUUUUUUAUGUUUAACCUUAUUUAGGAAAUCACGUCGUCGUUUUCUAGUUGGCAUUGUGAAUCCAAAAAAUAAGUUUAUUUUUGCUUUUUAAAUUGUUUUUAGUAAAAACAGACAGCCACUUGAAUUAGCCAAACAUCCAUCGUAGGAGACAUGAUGAUGUUUUGUUCUUUAACGAUACAUUAGUAGGACUUUCUUCCUUGCAGCAAAGCAACUUCCGAAGGCUACGUUGCUGUCUACUUCAAACUAGACCGCUGCGGGUACUUCGGCAGCGCUGAGACCAACAUCCGUGGCCACUGCAGCUUGCUUCUCAUCGUUUAUUGGCGAUUCCGUAUCAUCUCCCUGAACCCUGCAUGUUGCUGCUGAAGCGCGCCGUGGCCAGCCGCAAUCUGCACUGACGCUGGUGGGGUUGGAGGAAGUCUGGCUCGAAGCUUCUCUCGUCGGUUAGCGUUGCGUGGCUCGUUGCGGACGCGCCGAACAGUUUCAGGUUGCGUCUCUAAGAUGGCCAUCUCCUCUUCGUAUUACUCAAUGAUCUGCGACGCCAGGGCAACUCGUUCAUUGUCUCAUGCUCCCUGUAGUUGAACCGUGAUCCGCCUAGAAGCUUCGUAGAUAAGGCUCCAGCUCUCGACCUCGCGACAGGUGAGGUUGGAGGGUGUCCGUCGAAUCGAACCUGAUCAACCAUGACCGACACGCUUCUGGAUUUUUCAGCAAAGCGCGGUCACUCCAACAACACGUGUUCCUCGUCCUCCGAAACGCCGAUGAACCACUGAGAGUCCGGGGACGGUCGUGAAUCCUUUGCUAAUAAGCAUUCUCGUAAAAAAAAAUCUGUCCUGACCUGUUUAAGCCUGUGCCUGGGCCAGAUGGAAGGUCGUGUCUCCGUGUUAAUGCCAGUCGCUGACGGAAGACGAAUUGCAUAGUACUGAUAGCAACUUAGGUGGGAAAGUAGAGUGUAGUUUUAGCAUAGAUGUAGAUACUAACAAUACUAACAAUGACAGCGCUGCAACUGUUGACGAAAAUAAUUUGGAUGAUAUAGAACAGGGAUCUCCAAACUUUUUGGUGAGCGGGCCACAUAGGGUGCAAACUCCGUGGGUGAGGGCCUUACUUACUUACUUAUCCGGCGCUACAACCGCUUUGCGGUCUUGGCCUGCCUCAGGAGUGUCCGAAACCGCUCACGGUCUCGCGCCUUCGUCUGCCAGUCCGUUAUCCCGGCCUUAAUGGCGGACGCCUCCACGCCAUCUUGCCACCUCAAUUUGGGCCUACCACGCCUCCUCUGUCCUUGUGGACGGCCUAAAAAGACUUUACGGGCUGGGUCGUCCGUUUCCAUGCGUACAACAUGGCCAGCCCACCGGAGCCUGGCGUGCUUAAUACGCUGUACGACAGUGAGGUCGCCGUACAUCUCGUAUAGCUCGUCAUUAUAGCGGCUCCUCCAUUGUCCUUCCACACAUACGGGGCCAAGUAUCCUUCUGAGCAUCUUCCUCUCGAACGCGGCUAAGAGGGUUUCGUCAGAUUUGGACAGUGUCCAUGUCUCAGAGGCGUAUGUGAGUACUGGUACUAUAUAGGUACUAUAUAGUCCCAGCUUCGUCCAUCGCGACAGGUUCUUUGAGGUGAACUGCUUUUUCAGGCUGUAGAAUGACCGGUUGGCAGCCAGCAUCCUUGCGCGCAACUCAACUUCCAUACUGUUGUCGCUGCUGACCUUUGACCCAAGAUAGGUGAAUUCUGGGACGACUUCAAAAGUGCGUUCACCUAUCUGUACAUCACGCCUACGUAGAUUCGGAUUAUUUAUUGGUAGGUCCGCUGAUGUUGCCACCAUCAGUUUGGUCUUUGCCUCGUUUAUCUGCAAUCCGAGGUUCUCUGCCGCCUGCUCAAUCCCUUGGUAGGCUUCUGCUACAUAGGAGAGCCGCAGACCAAUGAUGUCUAUAUCAUCAGCGUAUGCCAGGAUCUGUGUUGACUUAUAGAAGAUGGUUCUCGUAGUCUCCACCCCCGAGUCGCGGAUGGCCCUCUCUAGCGCCAAGUUGAAUAGGAGACAGGCAAGCCCGUCCCCCUGGCGCAGACCCUUGGUGGUAGCAAAAGGUCCUGAGAGUUUUCCAUCCAUCACCUGGCAUGUGACGUUGGUUAUAGUCAUUCUAACUAGCCUUAUCAGUUUGGCCGGGAUUCCAAAUGAGCUCAUAGCGUCGUACAGUUUUACCCUGGCUAUGCUAUCGUAUGCGGCUUUGAAGUCUAUGAAGAGAUGGUAUGUGUCGUUUCUGUAUUCAGCCAUCUUCUCCAAGAUCUGCCGCAUGGUGAAGAUCUGAUCAGUGGUUGAUUUUCCGUUUCGGAAUCCUCUUUGAUAGUUUCCUACUAUCUCUUCGACGUGCGGGACAAGGCGAUCCUGAAGGAUCAGGGAGAAUAUUUUAUAGGCAGUAUUCAACACCGUAAUACCCCUGUAGUUGUUGCAGUCCAACCUGUCUCCCUUCUUGUAUACGGGGUAGAUGAUGCCGAGAGUCCAAUCACAAGGCAUCGAUUCGCUAUCCCACACCUCAGUAACAGUUUGAUGAAUCUCGUUUUCUAGUCGUGCACCUCCAUUCUAGACCAGUUCAGCUGCAAUUCCGUCGGUUCCGGGUGCCUUGUUAUUUUUCAGCCGACGGAUAGCCUUUCGUGUUUCUUCUAUGCUAGGUGGCAGUAGCAUGACACUAUCUGCUAGUGGCGCUUCUAGCUGUUCGUUUAACUGGUCGUUGAGUAAUUCAUCAAAGUACUGAGCCCACCGCGAGAGGACCUCUGGCUGGUUACUAACCAGAUCUCCAUCCUUGUUGCGACAGCAGGUUACCUUAGGUACAACGUUGUUUCGGUGACCUGCUAUCGCUUGGUAAAACUUUCGUGUCGGUCCGUACGCCUCUCUGGUUUGCUCGAGUUCCCGCAUGUUUUGCUCUUCCAAAGCAUGCUUCUUGGAGCGGUGAACUCGUUUCUCUUCGCGUCUGAGCCGUGAAUAUUCAUCUGCGCAUGCCCGCGUUCUAUGCCGUUGCUGCAUUGCUCGGUAUGCAGUAUUCUUACGUUCGGUCACUAGUCUGCAUUCAUCGUCGAACCAGCCAGAUUUGGUGUUGCCACGACGUGGUGGGAGUAUAUUUCUUGCACAGUUUAUUAUUUUUGUUUUUAGAGCGUUCCACCUCUCGCUCGUAGUUUCAUAUCUGUUUUCUGGUAGUAGAGACUCGUCUAAAGCGGCUUUGAAUUCCUGUUGGACAGUAAUGUCCCUUAGAGAGUCCGUGUUGAGCCGAGGCUGCGUGUUUUCUCCGCCCCCAUUGGCGCGGGGGCGGGCGAUUCUACAACGUAUCACUAAGCCAACCAAGUAGUGAUCGGAAUCGAUAUUGGCUCCUCGAUAAGUUCUGACGUUUAACAGGCUCGACUGUCGUCGGCGGCUUAUUAACACGUGGUCGAUCUGGUUGAAGCAUUCGCCAUCCGGGUGCGCCCACGUCAUUUUGUGGAUGUCCCUCCGCGCAAAUUUGGUACUUCCUACAACCAGAUUGUUCGCUGCGGCGAACUGGACCAAUCUACUACCAUUAUCGUUACUGUGCUCAUGCAGACUGUGACAGCCAGUGUAUUGGCGGUACAUUGGCUCCCUACCGACUUUUGCGUUGAAGUCCCCCAGGAUGAUUUUGAGGUCAUGCCUGGGGCACGCAUCUAUAGUUCUAGCGAGGCGGCCGUAAAAAAGGUCCUUCUCCUCUUCCUCUUUAUCUUCGGUAGGGGCGUGAACGUUUAUGAGGCUUAUAUUAAAGAAUUUGCCUCGCAUGCGCAGGGUGCAUAGCCUAUCGUUUAUAGCCUUGAAAUCUAUGAUUACGGAUUUCAGCCGGGGACCUACGGCGAAACCCGUUCCGAGCACGUGGUGUCGGUCGUGGCAGCUGUAGUAAAUGUCGUAGCAUUGCUUACCACGCCUGUUGUGCACACCGUUCCCUAGCCACCGAAUCUCUUGUAGAGCUACGAGGUCCAUGCUCAGUGUGGCUAGGGCGUCAUCAAGUUGUUUCAAGGCUCCGGCUUUGCUAAGAGUGCGUACGUUCCAUGAGCCCAUUUUUAUCGUUGUCCGGGGGCAUUGCGUUGGGUCGGUAUCGUUAAGUCCGUUUCGUAUCCUUCUGAUGCUUUCUGUAGUCAGUUGUUACGUGAGACUGGGUGACUGACCCUGCGCCCACGUGGCCGUUUUAUUUAACGUCGGGUUGCCCCCCCCGACGUUCAGGCACCCAGUUUCCCGGGAUACCCACCCCCCUCCUGGUUCGCCAUAUGCCACCAUCCGCCCAAGGGGUUGGAUCUAGCCCGUGUACCCAAGCUAGGAUAUAUGGAGGCACAUGUUACCACUCUGCACGACGAGGACGUGUCGGAAUAGGAGUUGGAUGGGAGAGCCUAUGUUAUCCCUCGGAGGGCUUCGGAUCCCAUCCCAUUACAGAGGGUGAGGGCCAAUCGUAGUUAAUCUUUAGAAAAAAUAUCAAUUGUGUCGAGGGGGGGGGGGGGGGGGGGGGCAUAAGGAAAAAAAUAACACAUCUUUUUAUGUUUUAUGGGAAAUCCAAAUCCGAAUUCACUUUAUAUUUUUAUCUUUCAUAUUAUUUUCAUUUUUAUAUGUUGAUGUAAGUUUAUACCACUCUACUAAUGAGUAUAUCAAUGCGAGCGAUGGAAUUGCUUCUUGGAUCCUGUUAUCGCUGUCAAUUCAGGUUUCAGAUUUGACGUUCCUAUUAAUAAUAUUGAAUCCAUAUGUUUGUCUGUCAUAUUUGAUCUUAAGCUAUUUUUCACAUAUUUCAUACGUGAAAAUGUUUGUUCGCACAAAUAUGUUGUUCCAAACAACGAAAUAUAUCGACAGGCAAAAUCCUUCAUCUUUGGGAAAUCGGUUUUUGGUAAAAAAUUAUAAAAUUCAAUUAAACCUUCUUUAAACUUGUCCUUCAAAUAGUCGUUUGCUUGCAUUUCUAAAAUUUCCAUUUGCAACUCAUCGGGACAAUCCUCAACAACAGCUUCAAAUGGAUUUUGAAAAAUUUUUAUUUCUGAAGCUUUUUCUUCUACUUCAGCAAACCUAUCAUUAAACUGGGUUUGUAGUUCACGUAAAAGAUAACUAGCGUAGUCAACUGGAAACUCUACGUUUGUUUCUUCUUGAAAUUUCUGAAAAUCCGGAAAAUGCGUUAAUUUUUUUAAUAGUAGUUGUUCUAUAAACAAUCUGAGCUUUGACCUGAAAGCUUUUAUAUGCGUGUAUAGGUCAGAAAUAAGAUUAUCUUGCCCUUGAAGUUUUAGAUUCAAUACAUUUAAAUGAUUUGUAAUGUCCGCAGCGAAUGCCAAUUUCCAUAUCCAGUUUUCAUCACGUAGCAAUGGUUCUUGUUUGCCAUUGACAUCUAAAAAUUCCAUUACAUCCUUUCUUAAUUCGAGCAUUCUGGUCAAAAGUUUUCCACAGCUUAACCAUCUCACUGCUGUGUAAUAAGGUAGAUCUUGAUAAUCUGCAUCAUUAUCUUUCAACAUGUUUCUAAAUUGUCGAUGAUUCAGACCAUGUGACCGAAUAAAAUUAACAAUUUUAACCACUGGUUGAAGAACGCAGCUAAUAUCUAAAUAUUUAGCACAUAACGCUUCUUGAUGAAUCAUACAAUGCACAAACAUAGGCUGCGGAAUUUUUCUUUUUUUGCACUCUUCUUUCACUUGGCCUACCAAACCUUUCUUAGUGCCACUCAUAUUUCUUCCUCCAUCAACAGAAAAAGUGUUAAGCAGUUUGUUGAAAAUAUCUUCCCCGGUAACAGUGUCAUACAUGCUAUGUAAGGCAGCCAAUUCUUGUGUUACUUUCAUGUUUUCAUCCACUCCUCUGAUGAACACAAGAAGCUGGGAUGUUGAUGAAAUGUCCAACGAAUCGUCCAUUGCAAUUGAAAAAUAUCUAAAAUUGGUUGCAUGUGUUUUAACUUGAUUCAUAAUAUUUUCACCAAUAUCUUCGACACGACGAGCCAUGGUAUUUGGACUCAGUGAUAUAUUUGUAAUUUUUUUUAUCAUUUCUGGGCACAGUUCUUGGACCACUUCCAACAUGCACUCCUUCACUAAUUCACCAUCAGUAAAUGGUUUACCUCUUUUAACCAAAAUAUAUGCCACUUUGUAACUGGCGUUAGUUAUAGAUUCGUUUUCAUUGGCUAAUUUGCAAAACAGAGCCUUUUGCGAUGAAAGUUGGUGGUGUAACUUAGAAAACUUUUCGUUGCGUUCUUUUCCCUGCAACUGACCAUAUUUAUCCUCGUGUUUGCUUUGGUAAUGGCGACGCAGGUUAUAAUCCUUCAUUACUGACACAGUUUCGUUACAAAUCACGCACAGCGCUUUGUCCGCAUGUUUUGCAAAAAAAUAUUUUAUGUUCCAUUCUUCUUGAAAUUGCCGACACUCGUCAACAAUUUUUCUUUUCUUGCUCUCGGUCAUUGAAAUUAACCAAUUAACCAAUUUAAAUGUAAAUUUUCUGUACGGUCAAGAGUUCCCAGUCCGACUGAUAGCAGAUUACUGUCGAUUGCUUCGAAAGAUUUUGGAAAGUGGCGGCCUCAAAAUCAAUAUGACAACUGCGGUGAUAACAAAAAAUAUCAAGAAAUCCUCAACUCAUCAUAUCUUCCUCCUAGCCCUCCCUCUUUUCUCAUUCGUAGCCAAACAAUAGUUCAGAACUAUCGAAGAAGCUCACAUCAUUGGAUUUACAGGGUUCUCAAUCGUUAUUUGUUUCCGUUUUAAAUGCUCUCUGAUUUUUUUUGAUUCGUUUAACAAUUUAAUGAGUGUUUGCCUUUAUUUGAUAUAUUAUUUGUUCCUAAACUCUUGGCACCAUCCUAUAAAAUCGUAGAACGCAUAGAAAAAACAUUGAGCAAACAAUAAAUGGUGGGUAAACUAAAACCGAAAUACCAAACAGCUACUGAAAACCCUGUAUUGCAUGUAUGUUAAAAUCAGACGAAGAACGAAAUCGAAGCGAAAGAAGAAAAAAUGACGAAAGAGUGUGCUGUGGCAAUAGCACACACGUGCACACUUGGCGACACACGAACUCUGGUGCGAUACCGGCUCUGGAGCAAGUGCACACAUGGACACAUUUGGCCACACCAGCGCUCUGUUCUAGUGCAGGUAGUUUUCUGCAGUCCACGGUGAUACUGCAUACAGCCACUCACUUGGCGUUGUUUCAUGCGAUGCGGUGGACGUUCAGAAUUCAGUGGUGCAAAUACACACAUGCACACACUUGGCGACACACGGCUCGGUUGGCUUGGCAGAAGCGCAUACACACAUUCACGCAGUAGACUUAUGCAUCAAGAAUUCACUUUAAUUCCAGUGAAGUAAGCGAUGAGCGGCGUAGCACAUGUCGUUCUCGUUCUCUCUUUCAUGUUCAUCCGUUAUGAAUAGAAAGACCGAGUGUCAGACUUGGGCGUAUCGAAAUCGACGUUUGAGCUUUGCGGGCCGCACGGGAGGGUCUCGCGGGCCGCAUGCGGCCCGCGGGCCGUAGUUUGGAGACCCCUGAUAUAGAAGAUGAACAGGAAGAAUGGGUCAUCUUUCUCGCAACUUUCUCAACUUGCUUCUUGCAAUUUUAAGAAAAUUUGGUCAUCCUGAACUUCCUAAAGAUGGUCGUACUUUACUAAAAAUUCCUAAAGUUAGCCAAGAGAUACAGCAUAUAGCAGGUGGACAAAUGUGGUACUCAGGGAUAGAAGUUGGCCUUCGAAAUUAUUUUAGGAAUCAUGUUCCAGAGGAAAAUAAGUUUUCGUUACAUAUUUUUAUCGAUGGGCUUCCUCUCUUCAAAAUUAGUGCUACACAAUUUUGGCCAAUUCUUUUUAAAGUAAAAGAAAUCCCCGAUUGCCCGGUAAUGAUCGCAGGUGUAUUUUGUGGUCAGAAAAAACCUACCGACUUAGAGCCUUAUUUGCGACAGCUCGUAGAUGAAUUAAACACUUUGCAAGUAAUAGGCAUGCUGUUUGGAGAGAAAGUUGUAAAAAUUUUUGCCAAGGCUUUUGUCACCGAUACCCCUGCGCGGGCCUUUAUAAAAUCGGUAAUGUACUUUCCGGCAAAACAUGGGUGCACGAAGUGUACUCUCGUUGGAGAGUUUGUAAAACCGGAGCGCAAAGUAAUAUUUUGUUCACCACAACCUGCUCCACCACGUACAGAUGAAAGUUUUCCACAAAGACACGAUACAGAGCAUCAUAAACAAAUUCGAUCUCCUUUAGAAGAGAUUGGUGGAUUAGAUAUGAUCAAAAGUUUUCCCACUUCUGAUCGACUUCAUCUUAUCGAUAUUGGCAACACUCGUAAAAUUUUGUACGGCCUUUUUCAUCAUAAAUUUCUAAGUUUUGAACACAAGAAAAAUGCCUCUCACUUUUUGAUGAAAACGAAACUGCCUUCUGAAAUACAUCGACCAUUUCGAUUCGAGAGUAUAUCAUAAUAAAAGUAUACACUAGUUUUCAUUACAGAGUUAGCAGGGAAAGAAAUUUGUUUAAUCUACAGGAAACUUCAUUGUAGUUUUUUAUUGAACAGAUCAGCACGAAUUGUCGCAUGUACAUGCAUUUAAUAAUAAUUGUAAAAGUUAGUGAAAAACACCAAGAGAUUCAUUUCAUGUUUGUUUAUACUUUUUUAUGUAAACACAAUUAUUUUUAGUAAUUUGGACUUAUUACUAUGUUUAACGACAAUGCCAAUCUUUAAAACAAAUUAUCCAAUCAACCUGUGAUCCAUAAGUAGUGUAACAUCCACGACAGUUAUAACUAAAAUAUUAGAACAGUUGAUUGAUCGUAUGGUAUCUUUUGAUCAUUCCGUACAAACACUAAUCUCCAAUAUCUAUUUUUUUUCUAAUACUGCUCAACGUGUUACGCAUCCCAUACGAGGAUACAUCGAGGAAAAGCUAUCCCCUUACGUGACACGACAUGACGUGACUGCGCUUAAUAUGGCAUUUCUUCCAGUCUCAACAGUUCCGCUUGUUUUUUAAAUAAGAACUCUUUGGAACAUUGCUCAUAGAAAUGAUUUAUUUCGUAAUUCUGUAUAAUGCAUUUACACAACUCUAAUAACUUCUCCUCCAGAACAUUCAUCUCCUCAAUGGUCUCUACAGUGCAAAAGUUUGGCGAAGGGGUUUUAUCCGUGGGGCUCAAGCAGGUGUUUUGAUUCGCCAACAGUUGUUGCAUCAUCCCGGUCAGAACAUCGAGCUUGUUGUUCAUCACAUCGUUCUGGACCUUUAGCUGAGCUACCAUUCGGCGUAACAUCAUGCAUUCUUUUGCCAAAUCAGUUGGUACUGGCACGUUGUUGUUUUUGUCCUCCAUCUAAAAAAGUUCGUUUUAUAUAGUUUCAUAGAGUAUUUAAACGUUUCCUAUGAGUAUUGUUUUACCUUGUGUAUGCAAAUCUAUAUCGACCAGUUAAGCUUUUUUUGUCAAACAAUGAGAAGCUCUACACGAAGUGAAACUAGUGAACAAUACAAUCUCUUAAAUUCUUUGAA